CCCCUCUAAGGACUGUACCUGGAGAUUUUCCAGUACUCUGCCAGUCUUGGCUUCUGGAGGGAGAGUCAAGCAGAGGUAUACCCAUUCCAUUCCCAGCUUGGGCAGGAGCUAGAGAGUGGAAGGCAAUCUGUCAAAAGU